UAGGGAAUCUUCGGCAAUGGACGGAAGUCUGACCGAGCAACGCCGCGUGAGUGAAGAAGGUCUUCGGAUCGUAAAGCUCUGUUGUUAGAGAAGAACGUUGGUAGGAGUGGAAAAUCUACCAAGUGACGGUAACUAACCAGAAAGGGACGGCUAACUACGUGCCAGCAGCCGCGGUAAUACGUAGGUCCCGAGCGUUGUCCGGAUUUAUUGGGCGUAAAGCGAGCGCAGGCGGUUCUUUAAGUCUGAAGUUAAAGGCAGUGGCUUAACCAUUGUACGCUUUGGAGACUGGAGGACUAGAGUGCAGAAGGGGAGGGUGGAAUUCCAUGUGUAGCGGUGAAAUGCGUAGAUAUAUGGAGGAACACCGGUGGCGAAAGCGGCUCUCUGGUCUGUAACUGACGCUGAGGCUCGAAAGCGUGGGGAGCAAACAGG
rnacentral:rRNA from 1 species